rnacentral:rRNA from 1 species
GUGGGGAAUAUUGGACAAUGGGCGAAAGCCUGAUCCAGCCAUGCCGCGUGUGUGAAGAAGGUCUUCGGAUUGUAAAGCACUUUAAGUUGGGAGGAAGGGCAGUAAGUUAAUACCUUGCUGUUUUGACGUUACCGACAGAAUAAGCACCGGCUAACUUCGUGCCAGCAGCCGCGGUAAUACGAAGGGUGCAAGCGUUAAUCGGAAUUACUGGGCGUAAAGCGCGCGUAGGUGGUUUUGUAAGUUGGAGGUAAAAUCCCCGGGCUCAACCUGGGAACUGCCUCCAAAAAUGCAUGACUAGAGUACGGUAGAGGGUAGUGGAAUUUCAUGUGUAGCGGUGAAAUGCGUAGAUAUAGGAAGGAACACCAGUGGCGAAGGCGACUACCUGGACUGAUACUGACACUGAGGUGCGAAAGCGUGGGGAGCAAACAGGAUUAGAAACCCUAGUAGUCC